AGUCGAGGGGUAUAGUAGCAAUACUAGAGACCGGCGCACGGGUGCGUAACGCGUAUGCAAUCUACCUUUUGCAGAGGGAUAGCCCAGAGAAAUUUGGAUUAAUACCUCAUAGUAUAGUGAUACCGCAUGGUACUACUAUUAAAGUCACAACGGCAAAAGAUGAGCAUGCGUCCCAUUAGCUAGUUGGUAAGGUAACGGCUUACCAAGGCCACGAUGGGUAGGGGUCCUGAGAGGGAGAUCCCCCACACUGGUACUGAGACACGGACCAGACUCCUACGGGAGGCAGCAGUGAGGAAUAUUGGACAAUGGGCGCAAGCCUGAUCCAGCCAUGCCGCGUGCAGGAUGACGGUCCUAUGGAUUGUAAACUGCUUUUAUACGAGAAGAAACAUCCCGACGUGUCGGGACUUGACGGUAUCGUAAGAAUAAGGAUCGGCUAACUCCGUGCCAGCAGCCGCGGUAAUACGGAGGAUCCAAGCGUUAUCCGGAAUCAUUGGGUUUAAAGGGUCCGUAGGCGGUCUUAUAAGUCAGUGGUGAAAUCUCCCCGCUCAACGGGGAAACGGCCAUUGAUACUGUAGGACUUGAAUUAUUAGGAAGUAACUAGAAUAUGUAGUGUAGCGGUGAAAUGCUUAGAGAUUACAUGGAAUACCAAUUGCGAANGCAGGUUACUACUAAUGGAUUGACGCUGAUGGACGAAAGCGUGGGUAGCGAACAGGANUAGAUACCCUGNUAGUCCACGCCGUAAACGAUGGAUACUAGCUGUUGGGAGUAAUCUCAGUGGCUAAGCGAAAGUGAUAAGUAUCCCACCUGGGGAGUACGUUCGCAAGAAUGAAACUCAAAGGAAUUGACGGGGGCCCGCACAAGCGG
rnacentral:rRNA from 1 species